AGCGAACGUUAGCGGCGGGCUUAACACAUGCAAGUCGAGCGAGAAAGGUGGCUUCGGCUACCGAGUACAGCGGCGGACGGGUGAGUAACACGUGGAUAACCUGCCCUUCAGUGGGGGACAACCAUCCGAAAGGAUGGCUAAUACCGCAUACGUCAUGGGAAGCUGCGGCUUUCCAUGGGAAAGCUAGCCUCUGUUUACAAGCUGGCGCUGAAGGAGGGGUCCGCGUCGCAUCAGCUAGUUGGUGGGGUAAUGGCUCACCAAGGCAAAGACGCGUAGCUGGUCUGAGAGGAUGAUCAGCCACACUGGGACUGAGACACGGCCCAGACUCCUACGGGUGGCUG
rnacentral:rRNA from 1 species